rnacentral:tRNA from 1 species
ACCUAGUUGGCUCAGUCAGUAGAGCAUGUGACUCUUAAACUCAAGGUUGUGAGUUUAAGUCCCAUGUUGGGCA